UGGCUCGCAAAGUGGGUGUGGUAUGUGGAUCUUGUCAUCAUAUCACAGCCAGCUUUGAUGAGCUAGG
rnacentral:pre_miRNA from 1 species